CGGAGGACAGCGCAGCCAGCCCAUCUUCCCGCUGCGACCCGCGAGGAACGAGGCCCCUCGGCCCCUGACUCACAGCCCCGCGGGCUCCCCUCAGCGCCCGCUCCUGCCUCAGCGAGCCCCCAGCCUCCCCUCCUCCGCUUCCCCCGGCCGAGCACCGCGCCGACCCCGAGACGCCUCCCGGCCACCGCACGCAGCGGUGCUGGGCAGGGUCAGCUCCCAGCCGGGCCGGCACCGAGCUCCACGGGGCGCAGCCCGGGGCCUGCCCUGCCCGUGCUGCGGGGCGGAGCCGCGCUCCUGCGGGAAACCCAAAGGGAGCGGAGCCCGGGGCGGCACCGGGGGGACCCCCGCAGCUCCCCUGGCUUGCUCCCCCCGCACGCCCUCGCACCGCCGGCAGCCCGCGGCUCCCCGCCCCCUUUCCUUGCAGGGCUCCGCCGCGGGAGCAGGCGAGGACGAAGGGCCCGCACCGGGGCAGGCUGCGGCUCGCCGCGCCCCCCCCGCCGUUACCUCAGCGGCCCCUCAGAGGCGAGCGCGGCCUCCCGGGGGGCGGCCGNNNNNNNNNNNNNNNNNNNNNNNNNNNNNNNNNNNNNNGCCGCGGCUCCGCGCCCGCUGCCCAGGGGGACCCCGCCGCGCUCCGGGGCCGGGGGUACCGGCAGCGCCCGGCGCGGCGGCCUCACGGAGCGGCGGGGAGGCGGCGGUGUGAGGCAGCGACCAGCGCCUUCCGUUCUCCUUCUCCGCAGCCCCGGCGCCGAGGUCGUGGCCGUGCGAGGAGCGGCUGGUGGAGCACCGCCAGCUCGCCGCAGCCGAGCGCCCAGACCCGCUGCGCCUCGCGUCGGACCCGCGGCCGGGCGGCGGCCGUGCCUGGCCCUGGAGCAGCCGUCGGAGACCCGGAGCAGCGCCCAGCCCGCAGGUCGAGGCUCCGGCGCCACGAUGACAGCUGGGAAAGGAAGGUGGUGGUGGGAGAGGUCACGCGCCCCCUGCGUAAGCCGUGGGCCCUGGGCGCUCGGCCUCCCAGGCUGGCCCCCUGCAGCGUGGGCCAGGAGGGGCUUGGGAGCAGAAAUACUCUCGGCUGGCCCAGGGACUGGGUGUCUGAGCUCUGCUGGGAACCUUUCAGCCAGAGUUGGGCUUGGGAACCCUUCAGCAUGGGCAGGAUGCUGA
rnacentral:lncRNA from 1 species